rnacentral:lncRNA from 10 species
GUACUUUCAGGAGAAGGAAAAAGCUUUUCCCUUUUUAAAUUUGGAAGGCAGAAAACACGAGAGGGCUACAGGCAAAAAAAUGGGAACUGAAUUAAAACACUUCUGACUUCUGGCGCUCACCCAGAGUAAAUGAACAGUGUGCAUGCACUCUGAAAAGAUAGAAAAUGCCAUAUAUAUAUUUACAUUUGAUGUGAUGGGUGCAGAGUGGUGGUUGCUCCCAGCCAGGUCAUUUCAAUAACAACAGGAGACUACAGUUCCUGCUGAAUGGCAUCUUUCAGGCUGAAGAGCUUCCGCAGUCUCUCCACUUCCAUACUGAUUAGAAGUGCUUGAGAUACAUCAUAACAGUGAUGAUGAGCACUGUCUGGGCUCCAGUUCGGCGGGCUUUGCCAUUCAGGCAUCCAGCGCAGCUGACAAGCCCGAGGAUCGAUGGAGCAGACACUGUCCAAUUCAGCUUUCUGUCCUCAUUACCUGACACACAAAGUUUACCAUCAAUGGGCUCAGAUAAUCUUUAAUACAUUGUGGUAAGUGCUAUUGUUUAUUCACUAGACAAAUAUUUAUUCAGCAUCUGCUUCAUGGUCUUGCUGGGCCCUGAAGAUCUAGGGGUGAAACAGGUGGAGUCUCUCCUCUCCCAGAGUUUAAGGUGCACCGAAAGGUAUCAUGCAAUUACACGAAGGCAAGAAACGUGCUAUGAUGGGAGAGGCCAGGGGAUAGAACGGGGGC